UGCCACUUUUAAGAUCGGUCAUAAAAUAACCGAUCUUAAAAGUACUUUUAAGAUCGAUUAUUUCAUGACCGAUCUUAAAAGUGACA
rnacentral:miRNA from 1 species